rnacentral:misc_RNA from 1 species
GAGAUAUUGGUGCAGCAUUUACUUGUCAAAGAAGAUGAUCAGAAACUUCUACUGGACCUUCAGAAAAAAACUGCUGAAGGAGAGGAUCUAAGUGAUCUGGCCGUUGAGUAUUCUAUGUGUCCAUCAAAAGAAGAUGGGGGAAUGCUGGGCUGGGUGAGAAAAGGGCAAAUGGUGCCAGAAUUUGAAGAAGCUGCAUUUGGUGCACCUCUGAAUAAGGUUGUAAAGUGCAAAACUAAGUUUGGGUGGCAUUUGUUGCAAGUUCUAUCUGAGAGGGAGGAAUCUGUACUUGAACACAUCCAGCCAAACGAGUUUCAUGUGAGGUUGCAAGAUCCGUCUUUCCUGGAAGAGGCUCAAUUGAUUGAUGUUCGAGAACCAGAGGAAGUGGCCCAGGCUUCUGUACCAGGAUUUCAGAUUCUUCCUCUUCGCCAAUUUGGAGUCUGGGGACCAGAAAUAACUACUAAGUUUGAUCCUCAGAAGGACACUUAUGUAUUGUGUCAUCAUGGCGUGAGGUCACUACAAGUCGCCAAGUGGUUGCAGACACAGGGAUUCAGGAAGGUAUUUAACGUGGCCGGAGGAAUCCAUGAAUAUGCUGUCAAAGUUGAUCCAUCGAUCCCAACUUAUUGAAGCGGGUACUCUUCGUGUCCCUGCUCUUUCCCCUGCCCCGCCUCUCGGUGACAGAGCUAAGUUUGGACAAAACCAUUUUGUUUUUGAUUUGUCCUACAAUUUUGAUUCAAACAUCCUGGGAACACAAUCAAUGUGAAUGGUUGAUCUUAGGACAUCUUUUGUAUGCUAUCUCUGUAUUUCCAACAUGCCUCAAUUAUCAAAUCAUACAAUUUGC